UAGUUCUCAGGGAAGAAGCUCUCAAACCAGC
rnacentral:piRNA from 1 species